CCUACGGGAGGCAGCAGUGGGGAAUUUUGGACAAUGGGCGCAAGCCUGAUCCAGCUAUUCCGCGUGUGGGAAGACGGCCUUCGGGUUGUAAACCACUUUUGUAGAGAACGAAAAGUCUAUUGAUAAUACCGAUAGAUGAUGACGGUACUCUAAGAAUAAGCACCGGCUAAAUACGUGCCAGCAGCCGCGGUAAUACGUAGGGUGCGAGCGUUAAUCGGAAUUACUGGGCGUAAAGGGUGUGCAGGCGGGUUUGCAAGAUGGUUGUGAAAGCCCCGGGCUUAACCUGGGAAAGCCAUACAUGACUGCAAGACUAGAGUGCGUCAGAGGGGGGUGGAAUUCCAAGUGUAGCAGUGAAAUGCGUAGAUAUUUGGAAGAACACCGAUGGCGAAGGCAGCCCCCUGGGACGCAACUGACGCUCAUACACGAAAGCGUGGGGAGCAAACAGGAUUAGAUACCCUAGUAGUC
rnacentral:rRNA from 1 species